rnacentral:lncRNA from 1 species
UGAAAGGUGACCCUUCUGAAUCCAGUGUCAGCAGACUAGCAUGGCUGUCCAGAUCACAGAAAUGAAGAGAAUCAGACUACCCACCUUGGAUUCUGAUAUGAAAGAUUUAGGAUAAAAGAGCUACUCCAUCAGCCUGGAAAGAUGACUCACUGGCAAACUCUUAGAUAAAGCUAAACUUCACACCAAACUGCAAGAGAGUCUAAGAAUGAAGAGAAAACUGCUUUGGCAAGCAACUACCUAGUCUCUGACACAGUCCACCUUUUUGGUCAGCCAAUAUCCAGCUCCGCCUUGUCUUCUUACACAAAGCCCAGGCAAAGCCCAGGAUUGCUAACUGUUGUACAAACCUGUUGGUCAGGCCUAGAUGGAAGCUUUCAACCCCAUUUCAAGUCAGCUGGCUUAUCCAACCCUGAAAGGUCUGUGAUCUCUCAGUUCUUUUUAUAAACAGGCCUCUGCUUGCAAAUGGCCAAUUCUUGCCUGAGCUCAUCUCUUUCUUGUAAUACUUUAUGAAAGGCAGCCAGUAGUAACUAAUGCAUAAAUUUUUCCAACCAACUGGCCCAAAGGUCAGUAGACCUUUUUACCAAAUGUUUCGCAAUGUAUAGCAUGAAUCUCCAUCUUUCUCCUCUCUGUUAUCAGGUUCCUCAGUGCCCAACCAUUAUGUCAAUGCCUUUUACCUUAAUUUUUUUCUUAUGGCAACAUUUUCUUCUGGAAUUAUUUCUGUACUGUAGCAAAUGCCCUAAACUGUGUAAAACAGUUUGAAGACACUAUUUUUUUUUCUAUUUUUAUCAUUUGUUCCUCGGUCUACUCAAUACGCUCCCUGCUUAAAACUCCCCUAGUGAUUUUCUGUUGGGUUUAAAAUAGAGUCUAAACUCUUUACCAUGGAUUACAAGCUUCUCUGUUAACUGGUUGUAACCUGCAUUUCCAGCCUCCUUUGGCGCCACUCUUGUCCCACCAACUAUAUCACAUUUCCUUUGGAACAUUUUCUGCUUCUUGAACUUGCCCAGGUCCUUGCUGUUAGCUGGUCCCUUUGCCUAUGAUGAUCUUCCUUCUUAGCAUCACUUGAACUGCAAAAAAUAAAAAAUGAAACAAAA